rnacentral:rRNA from 1 species
GACAGAGGGGGCAAGCGUUAAUCGGAAUUACUGGGCGUAAAGCGCACGUAGGCGGCUUGGUAAGUUGGAUGUGAAAUCCCCGGGCUUAACUUGGGAAUUGCAUUCAAGACUGCCUUGCUGGAGUGUUGGAGAGGAAAGCGGAAUUCCAGGUGUAGCGGUGAAAUGCGUAGAUAUCUGGAGGAACAUCAGUGGCGAAGGUGGCUUUCUGGCCAAACACUGACGCUGAGGUGCGAAAGCGUGGGGAGCAAACAGG